rnacentral:lncRNA from 1 species
AAAGGAAGAGACAUGACUUGGGACUGCCAAGUAAUUCAGUGGAUGAAUCUAACCUAUGGAGGAUUUUGUUACAAAGUAGAAGUUGGUGAAGUACUUGUGAUCUCCUACCAUAACCCAAUAUAUGUUUAGACCUCAGAGGGGUAAAAGAACUUAUCUGAAGCAUUCUGCCUCUGUAGAGAUGAUCUCUUCUCAAUGACAACUGGGCCUUCAUGGGCCAUGUUGCUUCAGAGCAGCUAACAAAUUCUCUUCUCAAAAGAUAAGUGGAGAGGUCUGAACCCUUGAUAGAUCUGGAUUUGAAACCAUUUCUUCCUAAGAUUCACUGGCUGUACUAUGGGGCCAAAAUUGAACAAAUCACCUGCUCUUGAUUUAUGGUCCCUUGGUUGUAAUAAAAGGUAUACUAAUUCCGGACUCCUGAACAGCGUUUAAAGGGAAAAAAGCAAAAACAGGUUAACACAUACAAAAGCUGGAAGAAAUGAUGAUGCCGAGGAAGGUCAUAGUGUUCCAUGGUUUCAGUGGACUUUGAGAUGCUAAGCCAGGACCUUGACUCCUGAACUUAACUGAUGUGAG